CUUCAUAUGACAUAAUCACGCCACCGCUAACCCGACCCCUCACAGUGACGUCACUACCUCCACUGAGUGCAGUCUCAGCUUGCUCAUGCAAGGCUGUAUCCAGAUACUAUUGAAUGUGUUGAGAUCAAUGUAGGUUAUAAACAGCUUGGUCUGGUGUCAUAUUUACCAGAGCUGAAUAUACUUAAUGUGUCAAGUUAUAAGUCCUGUACAACAUCAGAAUUAACCGUAGAACAGUUUCAGCAGACCUGAUCAGACAGACCUUCAGUCAACUAUUAGUUUGUGCUGAAUUAAACUGAACAAACUCAUAUUUGGCUGAUAAACUCUUAAAGGAGACUGAAGUUUACCCAUAGUUAAUUUCUCUGGUGUGUUUGUGUGUUCAGUGUGAGAUCAGGAUCAUGUGUGUCCAGCCCUCUGAAGAGUGACUGGUCUAAAGAGGAUCCACCAGAGUUCAGUGAGGAAACACCAUCACCUGCCCAAAGGAUGAUUGCGGAGAUGCAGUCAAGGGGGUUGGUGAUUAAUAACUUACCUUCAGUCCUCCCAGAAUCAGCUCGAUCUACUACAUCUUCUGUGCCUCAAAGCUCUGGAGGUGCAGAAAGUCCAUUGUAGCCUCCAAAUGAGCCCUUAUCUGACAAGAGCUCUGGAGAGUACUACCAGAGUCGUAGUUCAUCAAAUAAAGAUGAUAAUGAUGAAUGGAUUCCUUGAACGAGGGACAGGCAAACAAGCCCCUCAACUUCAACAUGCACACCUCGGCCCAGCACAACUCCCACCACUUCCCCCACUGCAACCCCCACUACAUCUGGGCAGAGAAGGCGCAGGGGCAGAAGUAGAGCUAGAGGCAGAGCUGGAUCAUCAGCACGGGGGAGUGGAUCUCAGCAGGCUGCUGCUGCUGCUUCUGGUGAGGAAAGUUGGCAUAAUAUAUCAGAGGCAGAUGAGGAACCAGCAGUAAUAGCCUUUGCCCCAAAACGUACACCAGGGCCUCAGCUGGUCACUACGUCAAGCUACUCGCCACUUGAGCUUUCUCCACAUCUGUCGUGGACACAAAAAUAAGAAACACAAAUGAACAUGCUGCACAAAGGUCUAAUGCUGGCAAAAAGUUCCUGUGGAUACCGCUCACCGUCAAAUACUUCAUUUAUAUUGGAAUUCUACUAUACAUGGGACUGAAAAAAAAAUCAAAGACAUUAGUAGACUACUGGGCAAGGUUGGACAUUUACAGAUUUCCCUUUCCACAAUUUGCUCUCACGGGCUGGUUAUCUGUCCAUAUCUUGGAACCUUAAUCUGUCUAACCUAAAGGACGAUGAAGCUAAUCAACAAAAAAGGGAACCCCAGACUACGACAGACUCUGCAAAAUAAAACCGCUGUGUACGGACAUUGUUUCAGCAUGCCAAACCAACUUUCAUCCCCUCAAGCAGAUGGCUGUUGAUGAACGUAUGAUUGCCUCUAAGGCCAGGAUUAGUUUGAAGCAAUAUAUGAAGGACAAGCCGACAAAGUGGGGAUACAAACUAUUUGUCCGUGCUGAUUCAAUUUGUGGAUAUACCUGGAACUUUUUUGCAUAUGAAGGAAAAUCCACCUCUGUAUCUGGAAAAGGCUUCAGCUAUGAGUCGGUCAAACAACUUUAGAUUUCUCAAUUCUAGGACAGGGAUAUCAGGUAUUUACGGACAAUUUUCAUACCAGCCCAGCCCUCCUAAGUAAUUUACUUUUGAAAAACACCCAGGCAUGUGGAACCAUACGCCAAAACAGACAAGGCUUUCCGAAAACUAAAAUCAAUUACCUAGGCAAAAAGGCUAAAAAAGGGGACAUUUGGUGGAUUAGGGAUGGAAAGAUACUGUUUGUGAAAUGGAUGGACACCAGGGAGGUCACCAUGUGUUCAACAGUUCACAAAACGUACAGUGAACCGACGGGUGAAGAAUGAUGAAGGUAACUGGAGAAGGGAACAGAUUCCUGUUCCUACAGUGGUGCUGGAGUACAACAAAUACAUGUGUGGUGUUGACUACUCUGAUGCAAUGAUUGGUUAUUACAAUAUUCUCCAUAAAACCAGAAAAUGGUACAAGACCUUCUUCUUACAUUUUAUUGACAUUGCUGUCGUAAACAUUAUUCACAGGGAGCUUUCAAAUCUCCAAAACAAAACCCCUCUGACACAAAAAAAGUUCAGAAAAAAUCUAAUCAUGGAAAUGAUCAAAGACACCAUAGAGCAGUGGUUCCCAACCUGGGGUCCACAAGAGUUAACAAGGGGGGCGCAGGAGAGGAUAAGUGUUGAGGUAGGAAUAAAAAUGCUCCACUAUUAUAUAGGGCUGUAAAAUUUAUUGAAAAUCCGAUUUCGAUUUCAAACAAUUAUAAUAAAAGCAUUAAUCGAGAUAAAGAUUAUUGCAUCAUAUAUCGCCCCCUUUCCAGUUGUACACGUGUUGCUCUUAAAAGCGCGGAAGAGCGCGUACUUAUGUGUGUGUGCAGCACGCACACUCAGUCAGAAGCAUACGGCCGGUCAGCUUUCGCAAACUAAGACGAGCAGAGGAGCGCAGACAUCUAAAGUCAUCUUAACGCGAGCGCUUUAAUGGUCAAAUAGGUGUCAACGCGGUGUUUAGUUAUUAUUUUUUAUUAACCCUCAUUUGUGUAAUAAACAAACGAGUUGAGGAUCAAAAGACACGUGAAAGAGAAACCAAAGAGACAACGAGAAAUAUUCUUGCUGCCGCCUGUUUUUAUGAUUAUUAAUCAAACAACGAGAAAAAUCCCUCACUUGUCUUGACUAAAGGACUGCUGUAGCUAAAGUGUUAUUCUUACAGUGAAGAUGCUUAAAGCAGUUUGUUUAAUAUUUUUAUUCUGUUGUAUUUAUUUCUCUUUCCUUUGCAGGGUGGAAAAAAACUGUAUAUAUACACUUGAAGUCAGAAUUAUUAACCCUCCUGAAUAUUAGCAACCCUUUUCCUCCCAAUUUCUGUUUCAUGGAGAGAAGUUUUUUUUUAAAACUUAUUAAUAGUUUUAAUAUCUCGUUUUUAAUUACUGAUUUCUUUUAUCUUUGCUAUGAUGACAGUACAUAAUAUUUAACAAGAUAUUUUUCAAAAUACAAGCAUUCAGAUUAAAGUGCAGUUCAAAGGGUUAAUUAGGGUAAUAAGGCAAGUCAUGGUAUAACAGUAGUUUCUUCAGCAGACAAUCAAAAAUAUAUAUUGCUUAAGGGGGCUAAUAAUAUUGACCUUAAAUUGGUUUCAAAAUAUUUAAACCUGCUUUUAUUCUAGCUAAAAUAAAAAAAUAAGCCUAGAAGAAAAAAUAUUAUAGGAAAUACUGUUAAAAUUCCUUGUCCUGUUAAACAUAAUUUGGGAAAUAUUUAUAAAAAAAAUAUUUCCCAGGAGCGCUUAUAAUUUUGACUUUAACGUGAAUAUGAUUUUUCCCAAAAUUAAGCAGCCCUACUAUUAUAUAUG
ensembl:lincRNA